UACGGAGGGUGCAAGCGUUGCUCGGAAUCAUUGGGCGUAAAGUGUACGCAGGCUGUUCGUUAAGUCGGGUGUGAAAGCCCGGGGCUCAACCCCGGAACGGCGCCCGAAACUGGCGAGCUUGAAUGCGGGAGAGGGAAGCGGAAUUCCUGGUGUAGAGGUGAAAUUCGUAGAUAUCAGGAGGAACACCGGUGGCGAAAGCGGCUUCCUGGCCCGACAUUGACGCUCAUGUACGAAAGCGUGGGGAGCAAACAGG
rnacentral:rRNA from 1 species